CCUACGGGAGGCAGCAGUGAGGAAUAUUGGUCAAUGGGCGGAAGCCUGAACCAGCCAAGUAGCGUGCGGGAUGAAGGCCCUACGGGUCGUAAACCGCUUUUGCACGGGGAUAACACCCUCCACUUGUGGCGGUCUGCAGGUACCGUGCGAAUAAGGGCCGGCUAAUUCCGUGCCAGCAGCCGCGGUAAUACGGAGGGCCCGAGCGUUAUCCGGAUUCAUUGGGCUUAAAGGGUGCGUAGGCGGGCGUUAAAGUCAGCUGUAAAAUCGCGCGACUCAACCGCGCCCCGCAGUUGAAACUGGACGCCUUGAGUUCACGACAGGCAGGCGGAAGUCGUGGUGUAGCGGUGAAAUGCAUAGAUAUCGCGAGGAACCCCGAUUGCGAAGGCAGCCUGCCGGGGUGCGACUGACGCUGAGGCUCGAAGGUGCGGGUAUCGAACAGGAUUAGAUACCCUAGUAGUC
rnacentral:rRNA from 1 species